UACGGAGGGCGCAAGCGUUGUUCGGAAUUACUGGGCGUAAAGCGCGUGUAGGCGGUCUAGCAAGUCGGUUGUGAAAUCCCCGGGCUCAACCCGGGAACUGCAUCCGAAACUGGCGAUCUUGAGUCCGGAAGAGGUGAGUGGAACUCCUAGUGUAGAGGUGGAAUUCGUAGAUAUUAGGAAGAACACCAGUGGCGAAGGCGGCUCACUGGUCCGGUACUGACGCUGAGGUGCGAAAGCGUGGGGAGCAAACAGG
rnacentral:rRNA from 1 species